rnacentral:tRNA from 1 species
GGGGAUGCAGCUCAGUGGUAGAGCACUUGCCCAGCAUGCAUGAGGCCUUGGGUUCCAUCCCCAGCACUGCUCA